AAGAGAAGUGGAUGAAGGACGACCUUAGCUUCUGGAGCAUUGUUUUUGUCUGGUCCAUUGCUGUGACUCCCAGGCUUCCCAGCCUUUUAUUGUGUCCAAAGUUCUACCUCAUUUUAGGACACACACAGUCCUGGUCCUCCUCCUGUUCUGUGAGGUUAUCACCUUAAUAAGAUGAUGAUCAGAGAGAGACCAUCCAGCUCUCUGGCAAGAAGACAGACCAGACCAAUUAUCCUGAUUCAACCUCAAAAAAGAAUGGACUCAAACAGAAUUCCAAAGCCGUUUCAGGACAAGGGAACAGAAUGAGAAGCUGAAGUCUUAUUGAGCUGUCAUCGUUGUAUAUUGGCCUUUGCUUAUGCCAGCCAGAAUAUUUGAGAAACCUGAUAGCAAUUGAUCUAUCAAAUGAAAAAAUAAUGACUUCGGAUAUGAAGGUAGGACUUUUUGAUGGCUGAAAUGCAACCAAAGAUACU